CCCGCCUCGGCGCCCCGCCGGCAUCCUCAGGCCCGGCCUCGUGAGCUGCCCUUUACUGUGGGGGCCCUGGCUCCCCUUCCUCACCUAAAAUUCUCUCUGCGUCCCCUCCCUCCCUGGCGCCUGGAGCCGCAUCCAGCCCGCGGUCCCUUCGCCCGACCUGGGUGGCAUGCGGUCCUCCCUCGCCCCUUGCUUGGGUUCCUGCGCCCCUAGUCCUAGCUCCCCUCUUUUGUAUCCCCUUUUAAUCCCCCAUCCCCCCAUUCAACCCAACUUCAGCCCCCGCGCUGCGCCCCCCUUCCCUGGCCCGGCUCGAUUGGCCGCUUCCUGAGCUGUCAGACUUGAGUCCGGCGCUCUUAUUGGGCGAUUCUCGGGCCGGGCGGCUGUGCCAAAGGAGGGCGCACCGGGCCGGGGGCGCCCAGGCAGCGACUGCCGCAGGGAGCCGAAGACCAGAGUCGCUGGAGGGCCAGAGGGGCCCAAGAGCCAGACCCGGAAAUGGACGGGAGAGAUGGAGAGACUGAGGAUCUCUGAGGCCCAGGAAGACAGUUACGGGAAAGAUGGAGAUGCAGUUGUCCUGCUGGAAGUUCCCGCAGCCUAAACUCUGGACAGAUGGGGAACAGUCACCUCUAAUCCCAGGAGGGAGAAACAAGCUUCAUUUUCUUCCUUCAGCUCUCCCUGUGGAGGUUCUGACAAAGAGACUAGAGGCCUGGGCAUUUCACCUGAUGAGCAAACAGUCCACUCAACGCAGGACUGAGGGACGAGCACUAAACUUGGGGUCAGAGUACCUGGAGGUUCUUCACCAGCCCCACCACUUUCCAGCUGCAUGAUGUCUGACAAGUCAUCUGUCUCCUCUCUGAACUGCGGUCCCCAGCAAGGGUGACUGCUCUCCUGCCCUUAACAAUUUGACGUGAGGAUCUAGACAAUGAUGUGGAAUUCCUUUUCAAGUUAUUCACCCUUAUGUAAACCAGGGAUCAUUCUUAAUAAUAGCAAAAUAAUAAAUUCACUCUUAAUAAAGUCA
rnacentral:lncRNA from 1 species